rnacentral:rRNA from 1 species
UACGAAGGGAGCGAGCGUUGUUCGGAAUCACUGGGCUUAAAGCGUGCGUAGGUGGAUUGGUAAGUAAGGAGUGAAAUCCCAGGGCUUAACCCUGGAACUGCUCUUUAGACUGCCUGUCUGGAAUUCGGAAGAGGUUGGUGGAACUCCCAGUGUAGAGGUGAAAUUCGCAGAUAUCAGGAGGAACACCAAUGGCGAAGGCAGCUCGCUGGGACGGUACUGACGCUGAGACGCGAAAGCGUGGGGAGCAAACAGG